rnacentral:rRNA from 1 species
GAUGGAGAGGUAACGGCUCACCAUGGCUACGAUGUUUAGGGGAACUGAGAGGUUGACCCCCCACACUGGAACUGAGACACGGUCCAGACUCCUACGGGAGGCAGCAGUGAGGAAUAUUGGACAAUGGAUGGAAAUCUGAUCCAGCCAUGCCGCGUGCAGGAAGAAGGUCCUAUGGAUUGUAAACUGCUUUAGUGCGGGAGCAAUAAGGUCCACGAGUGGACCGAUGAGAGUACCGCAAGAAUAAGCAUCGGCUAACUCCGUGCCAGCAGCCGCGGUAAUACGGGGGAUGCAAGCGUUAUCCGGAUUUAUUGGGUUUAAAGGGUGCGUAGGCGGUCUGUCAAGUCGGCGGUGAAAACAGCAUGCUAAACAUGGUGCUUGCCGUCGAGACUGGUGGGCUUGAAUGUGGAUGAUGCCGGCGGAAUGUGUAAAGUAGCGGUGAAAUGCAUAGAUAUUACACAGAAGGUCGAUUGCGAAAGCAGCUGGCAAAGGCACUAUUGACGCUGAGGCACGAAAGUGCGGGGAUCGAACAGGAUUAGAUACCCUGGUAGUCCGCACAGUAAACGAUGAUAACUAACUGUCGGCGAUACACAGUCGGUGGUAAAGAGA